rnacentral:tRNA from 1 species
GGGCGUGUAGCUCAGCUGGUUAGAGCGCGUCUCUGAUAAGGACGAGGUCGAUGGUUCGAGUCCAUCCAUGCCCACCA